ACCUACCUAAAUAUCUAUCAUCUAUCAUCUAUAUCAUACAUCUAUCUUCUAUCACUCUUCUAUCAAUCACCUAUUAUCUACCUAUCCAUCUGUCUAUCCAUCUAUCAUCUACCUACAAAUCCUGUCUUCGUUUUCCAGCCUGCUACGACGAAUAUCACAUACUGGGGGUUUAAAGUGGGAAUCGAUCGCCUCAGCUUCCGGGGGCUGGAAGCCCGCCCGCGGGCCCCGGAAGGCUGUGCUUCUCGGUGUCUGCAGCACUCUGGAGCUGCCUCGCCGCAAGGCUGGAGCGCUGGGACUCUGCCCCCAACCCACGGCGCUCGCUCCUUGACCCUGCUCGGAGGCUUCUCUGGCUGCUUCUGCAUUUCCUCUGUAUGAAGCCUCCCGUCCUACCCAUUCGGGCCCAGCCUGACUGAGCUGGGCAGGCCUCCACGGCCCUCAGAAGACCCACUCACAGACGAGCCCACCUCACCUGGUAACCCACCUUCACAGGGCCCUGUUUGCAAAGGGGCGCACGCCCACGGGAGCGUGAUUACGAUUAGGAGCAGGCUCUGCUGGGGUGCAUGAUUCGGCUGACUGCAGCGGCGGUUUCCUUCUUCGGUGGGGAGCAGCUGGCCAGUGGCCUCAGGGUGGCUGGCUCAGUUCAGAGUGUCGCCGGAAGCGUCAGCUGGGAGCUGAGCACCUUCCUGGAGCCAGAACCAUCCUGCUUCACGAUUCCCGGAAAUCCCUCCCUGAGAACAGGCAGACUUCCCUUACCCUUGGGCAGCCCCUGGCAGCACUGGGCUUACUUGCCAGCCUUCCGUGCCAGGGCCCAGCCCCGAUGAGAUCACCGCAACCGCGAGCAGGAGAUGCGACUUGUGAUGGGCGCAUUGCAGGGAGUGGUGGAGCGGCGCCCCGGCUCCCGAUGGGGAAGACGGAGGAGUGCACUGCAUGGAUUUCUGGAACCAUGCAAGCUGAGUUCCAGAGACUACCUGCUCUACUGUGGCAGAACUGUGCCAGGAAGAAAGACUGCCCAGGUCGGGGCGAGCAAGGGCCCAGCCGUCGGCACGGGAACGGCUUCGGCAGGACCAGCUCCCCGAGGAAGCAGGUUGCCGCUGAGCAGUGCGGAGAGCAGAGGGGUGAUCAGAUUUGCGAAUUUUGGAGGGAGGUCCUGACUACCAGGAAGGAACUCCGCGGGAGGUGGGGGGUAUCAUAAAUGGCUUUGCACUUUUCCCACAAUCCUUCCAGUUCUUUCCCCU
rnacentral:lncRNA from 1 species